rfam:Schistosoma mattheei strain Denwood, Zambia genome assembly, scaffold: SMTD_contig0001920
AUCCAGCUGACGAGUCUCAAACAGGACGAAACACGCAUUUUGGAU